UACGGAGGGUGCAAGCGUUGUUCGGAAUCACUGGGCGUAAAGGGCGUGUAGGCGGUCCGCUAAGUCUGAUGUGAAAGCCCGGGGCUCACCCCCGGAAGGGCAUUGGAAACUGGCGGACUCGAGUCUCGGAGAGGAAGGUGGAAUUCCGUGGUGAUAGACGGUGAAAUGCGUAGAUAUCAGGAGGAACACCGGUGGCGAAGGCGGAUCUCUGGGCCGAUACUGACGCUGGAGGAGCGAAAGCGUGGGGAGCGAACAGGA
rnacentral:rRNA from 1 species